GAUGAACGCUGGCGGCGUGCCUAAUACAUGCAAGUCGAGCGAACGGACGAGAAGCUUGCUUCUCUGAUGUUAGCGGCGGACGGGUGAGUAACACGUGGAUAACCUACCUAUAAGACUGGGAUAACUUCGGGAAACCGGAGCUAAUACCGGAUAAUAUUUUGAACCGCAUGGUUCAAAAGUGAAAGACGGUCUUGCUGUCACUUAUAGAUGGAUCCGCGCUGCAUUAGCUAGUUGGUAAGGUAACGGCUUACCAAGGCAACGAUGCAUAGCCGACCUGAGAGGGUGACGGCCCACCGGGGAACUGCGCCCGUGCCGAGCCUCCGCGGGGGGCCGCCAGUGGGGACUCUUCCACAAGGGCCGAAGCCCGGACGGAGCACCCCGGGGGGAGGGAUAAGGGUUUUCGGACCUAAAACCUGUUUUUUAGGGAAAAAUCAUAUGUGUAGUUACCUGUGCACAUUUUCCCGGUCCCAAACCAAAAACCCCCGGCUAACUACUUG
rnacentral:rRNA from 1 species